rnacentral:rRNA from 1 species
CCUACGGGGGGCAGCAGUAGGGAAUCUUCCGCAAUGGACGAAAGUCUGACGGAGCAACGCCGCGUGAGCGAAGAAGGUCUUCGGAUCGUAAAGCUCUGUUGUUAGGGAAGAACAAGUACGGGAGGAAAUGACCGUACCUUGACGGUACCUAACGAGGAAGCCACGGCUAACUACGUGCCAGCAGCCGCGGUAAUACGUAGGUGGCAAGCGUUGUCCGGAAUUAUUGGGCGUAAAGCGCGCGCAGGCGGGCUUUUAAGGCUGAUGUGAAAUCUUGCGGCUCAACCGCCAGCGGCAAUUGGGAAUGGGGGACCAUGAGUGGAAAAAGGGAAAGGGGAAUUUAACAUGUAAUGGGUAAAUGCGUAGAGGUGGGGAGGAACAACAGUGGCGAAGGGUGCUUUCUGGUCUGGAACAGACGCUGAGGGGCGAAAGCGUGGGGGGCAAAAAGGAGGAGAUACCCCGGUAGUC